GGAUUAGAUACCCUGGUAGUCCACGCCGUAAACGAUGUUCACUAGCUGUAUGCGAUACACAGUAUGCGGCCGAGCGAAAGCAUUAAGUGAACCACCUGGGGAGUACGUUGGCAACAAUGAAACUCAAAGGAAUUGACGGGGGCCCGCACAAGCGGAGGAACAUGUGGUUUAAUUCGAUGAUACGCGAGGAACCUUACCUGGACUUAAAUGCAGAGUGCAUAGAGUAGAGAUACUCUUUUCUUCGGACUCUUUGCAAGGUGCUGCAUGGUUGUCGUCAGCUCGUGCCG
rnacentral:rRNA from 1 species